UACGGAGGGUGCAAACGUUGCUCGGAAUUAUUGGGCGUAAAGCGCACGUAGGCGGCCAAUUAAGUCGGGUGUGAAAGCCCAGGGCUCAACCCUGGAAGUGCACUCGAAACUGAUUGGCUUGAAUAUGGAAGAGGGUUGCGGAAUUCCCGGUGUAGAGGUGAAAUUCGUAGAUAUCGGGAGGAACACCAGUGGCGAAGGCGGCUAUCUGGACGGUUUCUGACACUAAGACUCGAAAGCGUGGGGAGCAAACAGG
rnacentral:rRNA from 1 species